rnacentral:rRNA from 1 species
UGGGGAAUUUUCCGCAAUGGGCGCAAGCCUGACGGAGCGACGCCGCGUGAGGGAUGACGGCCUUCGGGUUGUAAACCUCUUUUGCAAGGGAAAAACGCUGGCGUGAUAACACCACGUCAGUUUGAUGGUACUUUGCGAAUAAGCCCCGGCUAACUACGUGCCAGCAGCCGCGGUAAUACGUAGGGGGCGAGCGUUGUCCGGAAUUACUGGGCGUAAAGCGCGUGUAGGUGGUUAGAUAAGUCUGAUGUGAAAUACCAGGGCUCAACCUUGGUGCUGCGUUGGAAACUGUCUGACUGGAGUGCGGUAGGGGAGACUGGAAUUCCUGGUGUAGCGGUGAAAUGCGUAGAUAUCAGGAAGAACACCUGUGGCGAAGGCGGGUCUCUGGGCCGCAACUGACACUGAGACGCGAAAGCGUGGGGAGCAAACAGG